GACGAACGCUGGCGGCGUGCCUAAUACAUGCAAGUCGAACGCUUCUUUCCUCCCGAGUGCUUGCACUCAAUUGGAAAGAGGAGUGGCGGACGGGUGAGUAACACGUGGGUAACCUACCCAUCAGAGGGGAAUAACACUUGGAAACAGGUGCUAAUACCGCAUAACAGUUUAUGCCGCAUGGCAUAAGAGUGAAAGGCGCUUUCGGGUGUCGUUGAUGGAUGGACCCGCGGUGCAUUAGCUAGUUGGUGAGGUAACGGCUCACCAAGGCCACGAUGCAUAGCCGACCUGAGAGGGUGAUCGGCCACACUGGGACUGAGACACGGCCCAGACUCCUACGGGAGGCAGCAGUAGGGAAUCUUCGGCAAAGGACGAAAGUCUGACCGAGCAACGCCGCGUGAGUGAAGAAGGUUUUCGGAUCGUAAAACUCUGUUGUUAGAGAAGAACAAGGACGUUAGUAACUGAACGUCCCCUGACGGUAUCUAACCAGAAAGCCACGGCUAACUACGUG
rnacentral:rRNA from 1 species